rnacentral:lncRNA from 1 species
UUAUAUCUCUUCCUUUGUUGCCACCUCCUCUCCUUGGGCGUGGAUCCUUCUUGGACAUCCUACCUGCUAGUGUGAGGUGUCAUAUCAUUACAUCUCAUCCCUCGAUUGAUUGUAUAUGUGAAGCCAAUUGAAUUGGAGUUCAUCCUGCUUUCCUGCGGCGUCUAACGUGUAUACGAAGUAGAUGGUCUGUAUAUCCAGGACUCCACAAAGGUUUAUAUCAGAUAAUUUGAGAUUUGAUCCAUGGUUCCGUUGUAAUUUAGGUAAGGAUUUGAUCCUUAAACAAGUAGAACAUUAAAAAAAAUUCUUAGAUGCAACUUGAGCAUUCUGGAAGAAAACUAUUUCCUUCCCUUCAAAGGAGACUCUCACUAUUUUAUCAGAUCUCCCAUGCUCUCCAAGUGGAGAAACGAAAAUUCUAACAUGAUAUUUAGGUUUCUAGUGAGUGUUGCAGUCCCACCGAUGCUGUGCACCUUUUCUAACAGUUAUUGGUAACACAAAUGAACACCAAUGCACAGACAACUCUUUGCCCAAAUGCUU